rnacentral:lncRNA from 1 species
UUACUCUUUACAGUUCUCCCUAGCUAAUGACACAGUGGAUUAGCAUCGAUGCAUUUUAUUGGUCAAAAUUAAUAUAUUAAAAAAUAAUUUAUCUACACAACGGAUAAACAAGGUCAAUAACCAUUAUUUUAAUUAAAUCAGCUAGUUAAUAAUAGUAAAGCAAAAAAAAAACAAGUUGUCAGUGUUGCCAGCAGAAAUUAAUGUAAAAAAUAUUUGUGAACGUGAGUGAACGAUAAAAGCUUAUAUUUCUUACUGCCAACACGACCAAUAUUAUCUAACAAAAAAACAGUGUUGCACAAAUAUCGAUUAAAUAAAGUAUCGAUAUUAAAAAUAGUCAUUUCUAUUUGGGGACGACACCAGUCGAUUAUUUAAAACAAAAAAA